rnacentral:misc_RNA from 1 species
UUAACUAUUAUAUAGUACUCAGACGACAUUGAUAAUAUGAGUUUUGGAUCCUCUGGCAGGCGCUGACCAGCCGAAGCCGGUGGCCCAAGGGCGGGCCUGCCAAAGCAACAAAGGUAUGUAAACAAAGGGUGGGAGAUCUACCCCGAAGGGCAAGUUCUCUUUAAUGAUCCUUCCGCAGGUUCACCUACGGAAA